UACGGAGACUACGAGCGUUACUCGGAUUCACUGGGCGUAAAGGGAGCGCAGGCGGAAUGGUGUGUUAGGUGUGAAAUCUCGGGGCUUAACUUCGAAAUAGCGCCUAAAACUAUCAAUCUAGAGUCUUGGAGAGGUAAGCGGAAUUUCCGGUGUAGCGGUAAAAUGCGUAGAUAUCGGAAGGAACACCGAAGGCGAAGGCAGCUUACUGGACAGGGACUGACGCUCAUGCUCGAAAGCGUGGGGAGCGAAA
rnacentral:rRNA from 1 species